GACGAAGGGGGCUAGCGUUGUUCGGAAUUACUGGGCGUAAAGCGCGUGUAGGCGGUUGUCCAAGUUGGAUGUGAAAGCCUUGAGCUUAACUCAAGAAAUGCAUUCAGGACUGGAUGACUAGAGGACCGGAGAGGAUAGUGGAAUUCCCAGUGUAGUGGUGAAAUACGUAGAGAUUGGGAAGAACACCAGUGGCGAAGGCGGCUAUCUGGACGGUUACUGACGCUAAGACCCGAAAGCGUGGGGAGCAAGCA
rnacentral:rRNA from 1 species